UACGUAGGGUGCAAGCGUUGUCCGGAAUUAUUGGGCGUAAAGAGCUCGUAGGCGGUUUGUCACGUCGGUUGUGAAAAUCCGAGGCUCAACCUCGGACCUGCAAUCGAUACGGGCAGGCUAGAGUUCGGUAGGGGAGACUGGAAUUCCUGGUGUAGCGGUGAAAUGCGCAGAUAUCGGGAGGAACACCUGAGAUGUAGAUGGCUUACUGGACCGUAACUGACGCUGAGGCACGAAAGCGUGGGUAGCAAACAGG
rnacentral:rRNA from 1 species